rnacentral:rRNA from 1 species
AUUGAACGCUGGCGGCAGGCCUAACACAUGCAAGUCGAGCGGAUGAAGGGAGCUUGCUCCUGGAUUCAGCGGCGGACGGGUGAGUAAUGCCUAGGAAUCUGCCUGGUAGUGGGGGAUAACGUCCGGAAACGGGCGCUAAUACCGCAUACGUCCUGAGGGAGAAAGUGGGGGAUCUUCGGACCUCACGCUAUCAGAUGAGCCUAGGUCGGAUUAGCUAGUUGGUGGGGUAAAGGCCUACCAAGGCGACGAUCCGUAACUGGUCUGAGAGGAUGAUCAGUCACACUGGAACUGAGACACGGUCCAGACUCCUACGGGAGGCAGCAGUGGGGAAUAUUGGACAAAGGGCGAAAGCCUGAUCAAGCCAUGCCGCGUGUGUGAAGAAGGUCUUCGGAUUGUAAAGCACUUUAAGUUGGGAGGAAGGGCAGUAAGUUAAUACCUUGCUGUUUUGACGUUACCAACAGAAUAAGCACCGGCUAACUUCGUG